GACGAACGCUGCGGCGUGCUUAACACAUGCAAGUCGAACGGAAAGGCCCUGCUUUUGUGGGGUGCUCGAGUGGCGAACGGGUGAGUAACACGUUAGUAACCUGCCCUUGACUUUGGGAUAACUUCAUGAAACUGGGGCUAAUACCGGAUAGGAGCUCCUGCUGCAUGGUGGGGGUUGGAAAGUUUCGGCGGUUGGGGAUGGACUCGCGGCUUAUCAGCUUGUUGGUGGGGUAGUGGCUUACCAAGGCUUUGACGGGUAGCCGGCCUGAGAGGGUGACCGGCCACAUUGGGACUGAGAUACGGCCCAGACUCCUACGGGAGGCAGCAGUGGGGAAUAUUGCACAAUGGGCGGAAGCCUGAUGCAGCAACGCCGCGUGCGGGAUGACGGCCUUCGGGUUGUAAACCGCUUUCGCCUGUGACGAAGCGUGAGUGACGGUAAUGGGUAAAGAAGCACCGGCUAACUACGUG
rnacentral:rRNA from 1 species